rnacentral:rRNA from 1 species
GACGAACGCUGGCGGCGUGCUUAACACAUGCGAGUCGAACGGAAAGGCCCUGCUUUUGUGGGGUGCUCGAGUGGCGAACGGGUGAGUAACACGUGAGUAACCUGCCCUUGACUUUGGGAUAACUUCAGGAAACUGGGGCUAAUACCGGAUAGGAGCUCCUGCUGCAUGGUGGGGGUUGGAAAGUUUCGGCGGUUGGGGAUGGACUCGCGGCUUAUCAGCUUGUUGGUGGGGUAGUGGCUUACCAAGGCUUUGACGGGUAGCCGGCCUGAGAGGGUGACCGGCCACAUUGGGACUGAGAUACGGCCCAGACUCCUACGGGAGGCAGCAGUGGGGAAUAUUGCUCAAUGGGCGGAAGCCUGAUGCAGCAACGCCGCGUGCGGGAUGACGGCCUUCGGGUUGUAAACCGCUUUCGCCUGUGACGAAGCGUGAGUGACGGUAAUGGGUAAAGAGGCACCGGCUAACUACGUG